rnacentral:rRNA from 1 species
UACGUAGGUGGCGAGCGUUGUCCGGAUUUACUGGGCGUAAAGAGCGCGCAGGCGGUCGUACAAGUCGCGUGUGAAAGCCCCCGGCUCAACUGGGGAGGGUCACGCGAUACUGUUCGACUGGAAGGCAGGAGAGGGAAGUGGAAUUCCCGGUGUAGUGGUGAAAUGCGUAGAUAUCGGGAGGAACACCAGUGGCGAAGGCGACUUCCUGGCCUGUUCUUGACGCUGAGGCGCGAAAGCUAGGGUAGCAAACGGG